rnacentral:rRNA from 1 species
AACGAACGCUGGCGGCGCGCUUAACACAUGCAAGUCGCACGGACGGUUUCGGCCGUCAGUGGCGCACGGGUGAGUAACGCGUGGGAACCUACCCUGGGGUCGUGGGACGAACCGCGGGAAACGUGCGGCUAAUACCGGAUACGUGCUGCGGCAGAAAGGAGUGAUCUGCCCUGGGAUGGGCCCGCGUCCGAUUAGCUAGUUGGUGGGGUAACGGCCCGACCAACGGCUGCGAUCGGUAGCC